rnacentral:rRNA from 1 species
CCUACGGGAGGCUGCAGUGGGGAAUAUUGGACAAUGGGGGCAACCCUGAUCCAGCCAUGCCGCGUGUGUGAAGAAGGCCCUCGGGUUGUAAAGCACUUUCAGUGAGGAAGAACGCCUGGUGGUUAAUACCCAUCAGGAAAGACAUCACUCACAGAAGAAGCACCGGCUAACUCCGUGCCAGCAGCCGCGGUAAUACGGAGGGUGCGAGCGUUAAUCGGAAUUACUGGGCGUAAAGCGCGCGUAGGUGGCUUGAUAAGCCGGUUGUGAAAGCCCCGGGCUCAACCUGGGAACGGCAUCCGGAACUGUCAAGCUAGAGUGCAGGAGAGGAAGGUAGAAUUCCCGGUGUAGCGGUGAAAUGCGUAGAGAUCGGGAGGAAUAACAGUGGCGAAGGCGGCCUUCUGGACUGACACUGACACUGAGGUGCGAAAGCGUGGGUAGCAAACAGGAUUAGAUACCCGAGUAGUC